UGUUGUUCGGCAGCGGGAUACGUCAUCGUUUGUUUUGUAGUGUAUGGAAGUGUUGUUAUUAUGUCAAGCGCAGCGAAAGUGUAAAAAUGUGAUGUAUCUCAAAUUUCCCUUAAUGUGGCCAUAACUGGGGCCUCGACCCUACAUUGGAAGUUGCUGGGUGACCAAGGAAUCAGCAUAAUUUGGAUGACUUUGGGAUGCAGUUAUAAUUGUAAUAGAUGUUGGACACUUUGACUCCAAGUAUGUUAUACAGAAAC